UACGUAGGGUGCGAGCGUUGUCCGGAAUUAUUGGGCGUAAAGAGCUCGUAGGCGGUGUGUCGCGUCGGCCGUGAAAACCUGCAGCUUAACUGUGGGCUUGCGGUCGAUACGGGCAUCACUGGAGUUCGGCAGGGGAGACUGGAAUUCCUGGUGUAGCGGUGAAAUGCGCAGAUAUCAGGAGGGAACACCGGUGGCGAAGGCGGGUCUCUGGACAGCAA
rnacentral:rRNA from 1 species